AUUGAACGCUGGCGGCAGGCUUAACACAUGCAAGUCGAGCGGAGAGAGGUAGCUUGCUACUGAUCUUAGCGGCGGACGGGUGAGUAAUGCUUAGGAAUCUGCCUAUUAGUGGGGGACAACAUUUCGAAAGGAAUGCUAAUACCGCAUACGUCCUACGGGAGAGAGCAGGGGAUCUUCGUACCUUGCGCAAAUAGAUGUGCCUAAGUCGGAUUAGCUAGCUGGUGGGGUAAAGGCCUACCAAGGCGACGAUCUGUAGCGGGUCUGAGAGGAUGAUCCGCCACACGGGGACUGGGACACGGCGCAGACUCCUACGGGAGGCAGCAGUGGGGAAUAUUGGACAAUGGGGGGAACCCUGAUCCAGCCAUGCCGCGUGUGUGAAGGAGGCCUUAUGGUUGUAAAGCACUUUAAGCGAGGAGGAGGCUACUCUAGUUAAUACCUAGGGAUAGUGGACGUUACUCGCAGAAUAAGCACCGGCUAACUCUGUGCCAGCCGCCGCGGUAA
rnacentral:rRNA from 1 species